rnacentral:tRNA from 1 species
AUUUAAAUAGUUUAUUAAAAAUAAGGGUUUGUGGGGCCUUAGAUGAAUUUUUCUUUAAAUU